CAUUUCAACAUUGAACCUCAUUCAGAAUGUCACUGCAAUCUCAGAAACCGCUGUCAUUGUCAGAGAAUCACAUUCAAAGCCAAACAGACACAGCAGGGUCACAGCAAAGGGGUCAGACGUCCCACAACACACCUGGAUGUCGACGCACCGGAGAAAUAAACCAAAAACCAUUCCAGGUGGCUUCCCCACACAGCAGACGAGAUGGGAGCAUGUGUGUGUGCGCAUAUGUGUGGUUUUAAAGCCUGGGGAUGCCAUGUUCAGAGAGCCCCAGCAUCGCCCACGCAGACGCACACAUGCACCAAGCCACAUGUGAGGAAGACGUGCAGCAGCAGCCGAGAGUAUCCCUCUGAACUGGAUGUGCUCUGCGGUGAGGAGAGACUCCACACGUCACGCCGCUCUCAUUUUGUUUGCACUCAUUUCUAGAGCUUGUUGUUUAUUUUUCUCUCCCCUACGACCACAUAAAUGGCUUUUGAAACUCGUCGAUGCAGUUUUGAUGCGCAACUGUUUAACGCUGAUAAAUAAUUACAGGGAAUUGUUUUGAUCUGUUACCACCGAUGCAUCGCGUCUGCAUUUCACGUGAAUUUGCACGACAUUCACACACACAGAUUUUUUUA